AUUGAACGCUGGCGGCAUGCCUUACACAUGCAAGUCGAACGGUAACAGGUCUUCGGAUGCUGACGAGUGGCGAACGGGUGAGUAAUACAUCGGAACGUGCCUAGUAGUGGGGGAUAACUACUCGAAAGAGUGGCUAAUACCGCAUGAGAUCUACGGAUGAAAGCAGGGGAUCGCAAGACCUUGUGCUACUAGAGCGGCCGAUGGCAGAUUAGGGAGUUGGUGGGAUAAAAGCUUACCAAGCCGACGAUCUGUAGCUGGUCUGAGAGGACGAUCAGCGACACUGGGACUGAGACACGGUCCAGAUUCCUACGGGAGGCAGCAGUGGGGAAUUUUGGACAAUGGGCGCAAGCCUGAUCCAGAAAUGCCGCGUGCAGGAUGAAGGCCUUCGGGUUGUAAACUGCUUUUGUACGGAACGAAAAGCCCCGGGUUAAUACCCUGGGGUCAUGACGGUACCGUAAGAAUAAGCACCGGCUAACUACGUGCCAGCCGCCGCGGUAA
rnacentral:rRNA from 1 species